rnacentral:tRNA from 1 species
UCCCUGGUGGCUCAGAUGGUGAAGUGUCUGUAUGCAAUGCAGGAGACCCAGGUUCGAUCCCUGGAUUGGGAA